rnacentral:rRNA from 1 species
AUGUCUGAGGUGGCAGCGACGGCGGGGCAGGCGUACAUGAGACAGCUCUCCAAGCACCCGCUCCGCACCAAGGCCAUCACCUCCGGGGUGCUGGCCGGCUGCAGCGACGCCGUCGCCCAGAAGAUCUCCGGCGUCAAGAAGCUCCAGCUCAGGAGGCUCCUCCUCAUAAUGCUCUAUGGAUUUGCAUACGCAGGACCAUUCGGUCAUUUUUUCCACAAGCUUAUGGACAAGAUUUUCAAGGGACAGAAGAAAGGAAAAGAAACUACAGCCAAGAAGGUCAUAGUGGAGCAGCUAACUGUAUCACCAUGGAACAAUAUGAUGUUCAUGAUGUACUACGGUCUGGUAGUUGAAGGGAGGCCAUUCGGGCAAGUAAAGAGCAAGGUCAAGAAGGACUUUGCAAACAUCCAAUUGACAGCUUGGAAGUUCUGGCCAAUAGUUAGCUGGAUCAAUUAUGAGUACAUGCCACUCCAGCUCCGAGUUCUUUUCGCCAGCUCCGUUGCAUCAUGCUGGGCAGUGUUUCUGAACCUGAAAGCAGCAAGAUCCAUUGCCGGCACUAGUAAGAAUGCAUAA